CAAUGUCAUUAUAAUAUCAUCGUUGAUUCCAUUGAGUUCUUUGUCCCCAGCUUUCUUUCCCUUGUACCUUCCUGGUGUUGCUUGGCCCAGGUAUCUCAAUCUAGUUCAACAUGGAAACUGCUGCAGAGCCUUCAAUGGAAUGAAGAAAGUUACCAAAGAAGAGGAAGAAGUAGACGAAGUUUGAGCUCAGGUGCCCUUGUAGAAAAAGCUUUCUCCAUUCAGAAUUACACUCAGAAACACGAUGAUAAAGAGCAAGACUAACCCUUGCUAGAAUAAACAUGGGCAA
rnacentral:lncRNA from 1 species